rnacentral:rRNA from 1 species
AUUGAACGCUGGCGGCGGGCCUCACACAUGCAAGUCGAGCGGAGCGGGGGACGGGGGAGGAAUGACUAGGAAUCUGCAUGGUAGUGGGGGAUAACGUCAAGAAACGGGCGAUUAUACAGCAUACUAUCAGCUGCGCCUAGGGAGGAUUAGCUAGUGGGGGGGGUAAAGGCCUACCAAGGCGACGAUCCGUCACUGGUCUGAGAGGAUGAUCAGUCACACUGGAACUGAGACACGGUCCAGACUCCUACGGGAGGCAGCAGUGGGGAAGAUUGGACAAUGGGCGAAAGCCUGAUCCAGCCAUGCCGCGUGUGUGAAGAAGGUCUUCGGAUUGUAAAGCACUUUAAGUUGGGAGGCGUUACCAACAGAAUAAGCACCGGCUAACUUCGUGCCAGCAGCCGCGGUAAUAC